AUCUUCCCACCUCGGCAUAACCUUUGGGGAGAAGAUUUGUUUACAUUUUACUCUAUCUGAUACUUUGGUGUCUGUGUACUUAAUAUAUUUAGUAUACUGUACUUUAGCACAGUGUUUCCUCAAACUUUGUUUUUUGUUCUUGAGCUUCAAGAACUCAAGAAACAACUGGCAGUAAGUUACUACCUGUACAAACCAGUUUUGGAAAGAGGUCAUCAGGUUUUAUUCAAGAAGUUAAAGCCAUGAUAUGGGAAUGGGGAGAGGCCACUGUGGCCGGGGCAGCUGCGCUCGAUAAAGGUCUUUGGUAAUUACCCUUUGUUGUUCCCGUGGUCCACAGCUGUUACUCCUGUUUGUUGAUCCUGUGCCUGAAGAUUGCUCAGAGCUCUUUCCGGAAGAACAUUCGUUCCUCUGCUGUCUUAGUUGCGGCCUCCAUGGUGUGGCUAAUGAAUCGCAUACCUUAGUAUUUGCUUCUGCAAGUUUGUGCAGCAGUCCACAGUUGUCGAGGAAGGAGGAAGGUGCAGCAUUAAGGCUCAUAGACAGAAGAGACUCACCUUGUCUCACAUGAGACCUUGGACUUGGA
rnacentral:lncRNA from 1 species